UACGAAGGGGGCUAGCGUUGCUCGGAAUCACUGGGCGUAAAGGGUGCGUAGGCGGGUCUUUAAGUCAGAGGUGAAAUCCUGGAGCUCAACUCCAGAACUGCCUUUGAUACUGAGGAUCUUGAGUAUGGGAGAGGUGAGUGGAACUGCGAGUGUAGAGGUGAAAUUCGUAGAUAUUCGCAAGAACACCAGUGGCGAAGGCGGCUCACUGGCCCAUUACUGACGCUGAGGCACGAAAGCGUGGGGGAGCAAACAGG
rnacentral:rRNA from 1 species